rnacentral:lncRNA from 1 species
CAACCUGAAAAAUUCAAAAAUUCUUCCAACCUGCUCUCCAAGGUCCAAACACCCAUACUCUUCAUUCCGAAGCACUCGGAACAACAAUAGACCUCUCUAACUCGUCCAUCUCCACGCUUCGGUCAAUUUGAUUGGAGUUCGGUACAACCAAUUGGGGAUUUGGUAUGUUACAGGUAUGGCUUAUAGGAUUUGGUUUGUGAGGUCUGGUUUAUGGUUCAUGGGAUGUGAUGUAUGGUUCAUGAGAUUUGGUUCAUGAACUUGGGUAUGGUUCAUGGGAUAUAGUGUAUGGUUCAUGAGAUUUGGUUCAUGAACUUGGAUAUGGUUUGGUUCGUGAGAUUUGGUUCAUGAACUUGAGUACGACUUAUGAGAUUUGGUCCAUGAACUUGAGUAUGAUUCAUGGGAUGUGGUGUAUGGUUCAUGAGAUUUGGUUCGUGAACUUGGUUCAUGAUUAAUAAGAUUUGGUUCAUGAACUGGGUUCAUGGUUCACGAGAUUUGGUUCAUGAGUCCAAGUUGGAAGUUGGGUUCGGGUUCUAUUCGUGAUUCGGAUUGGGUUUGAGUUUGGGUUUAUUUGUAGACUCAGUUGGAUUUGGGUUUAGAUUUUGUAGAUUUUGGGCUUUUAUGUGGACUUGAUUGGAUUUGGGUUUGGGUUUAGGUUUUAUGGACUGGAUUUGAUUUGGGUUUGGAUUUAGGUUUGGAUUUUUAUUUGUGGACUGAAUUUGAUUUAGGUUUGGGUUUUAUGGGUUUAGGUUUGAGUUUUUAUUUGUGGACUGGAUUUGAUUUGGGUUUGGGUUUCUAUUUGUGGACUGGAUUUGAUUUGGGUUUGGAUUUUAUGGGUUUAGGUUUGGGUUUUUAUUUAUGGACUUGGAUUUGAUUUGGGUUUGGAUUUUAUGGGUUUUUAUUUAUGGACUGGAUUUGAUUUGGGUUUUAUGGUCUAUGUUCAUCUACGUUUGGAUUUGCAUUUAGUAUUCCAACAAUGUUGGAAGGGUUAAAGAUGAGUUUAAAAGAGUUGGAAGGGUUUUAGCGUUGUUCGGUGCGAAAUAGAGUCGAAACAACACGAAAAAUAGAAAUCUGGAGCUUUUGUA